rnacentral:rRNA from 1 species
UACGUAGGGGGCAAGCGUUGUCCGGAAUCAUUGGGCGUAAAGAGCGUGUAGGCGGUUCGGUAAGUCGGCUGUGAAAGUCCAGGGCUCAACCCUGGGAUGCCGGUCGAUACUGCCGGACUAGAGUUCGGAAGAGGCGAGUGGAAUUCCCGGUGCAGCGGUGAAAUGCGCAGAUAUCGGGAGGAACACCUAUGGCGAAGGCAGCUCGCUGGGACGUUACUGACGCUGAGACGCGAAAGCGUGGGGAGCAAACAGG